UGUAAUGCUUGAAUGAGUCUGAUGCUUAUAAAGCCCUUGGCACAGCAUCUGGCACACAGGAAGCAUUCAGUAAACGCUAGUCACUGCUGGUACUGUCAUUCCUGGGAAUGGUGGUAAAGACGACGGUUUUCACAGUACUACCAAGCUGAGGGAUGCACCGGCUCCCCAGAGACUUCCUGAAGAAUAAAUAAAGGGCAAGAAGAGGGUGUCUGUCCUGGGGGAGAGCAUGUAGGGAAUGAUUUCCGUGUUUGAAGAUGCUCCAUGGACUUCUAUGCUCUUUCUUUGUUUUCUCAGGCCUGGGCACUCUCCCUCCCUUUCUUUCCGUUUGGCGUUCUUCCAAUGUCUGCUCAUCACGAGGGCUUUCCUUACAGCUCCAGCCACGGGCACUCUCUUCCACUUAACCUGUCACCCUUGCCUCUCCUUAGACCAGGAGUUAGAGGGCAGACUGUGCUGCUGGACCUCCUUCAGGGCAGGCUGUGCCCCUCUCCCCGCCGUGUGUGCAUUCCCCACAAACAGGGACAGAGUCGAACACAUACUCUGUGGUCUGGAGAUGAGUCUGGCCUCACUGAGGCUGCAGACCCGCUGCUUUGCCACAAUUGGAAGUUCUCUGCUCUCUCCCCUCCUCUCCCUACUCUUUUCCCACAAGGCCUGUGCCUGUCGCUCACUUCCUGGAACCCAAGAGACUUGGCUCUUUUGACCUCUGUACUCCUCCCAGAAUGCUUAUGCUCCCCAGUGUGGAUGCUUAGGCUCACCGGUGGGGCACCCCCACCCUACCAGCGGGAAGGUGGAGCAUCAUAGAUGAAGGAAGGGGAAUUAGCUGCCCCACCUCCCGGCGCAGACUUAGAUCAAUUUCUGGCCUCUUCAGACUGCACCCGGAGAGGCGCCACCCUGGUGCCAAAUGGGCUUCAUUCUUCAGCUUUCAUUAAGAAGCCUCUUAGUCAAGAGCCAGUCAGCUGACAGGAAAUAUCAUCAGGUAUUUGAAGUGAGAGGGGACAAGACAUGUUGACAAGAACGAAGCUAUUAACCAGGGAAGCAUCAGAGAGGACCACUGCUGGAGAGCUACAGGAAGCAGCCUCUCCCCUGAGGGCUGGGCAUGGGGAGAGGUGGGAAUCAUUCCAAUGUAAAAACCCAAAGCUGUGGCUACAGUCUCUGAGCUGGAGAGGGGUUCAUGGGACUGGAAGUCUCCUGGAACAGGGACAUGGCGAGGCUGAUUCUGCAAGUGUUGGGCAAAGUAUAAACUGCCAUGACAGAGGCUCUCACCUCAGGCCGAAGAGAGGAGGCUAAGGUGAUCCUGGCAGGAGCAGAAAUCCCGCAGGAAGCAGACAGAAGGGAACCAGUCCUUCCUUCCUCUGCCUGCCACAUCCUUACCAUGGAGAAGAUGUCUCACAGAGCCAGCUGGCAAAGCAGAAUUGUGGUUGGCAGAGUCUCGGCUCCAGCAUCACACAGGCUGGGCUUGGAGCAGAGAGGCAAGAA